UACAGAGGGUGCGAGCGUUGUCCGGAAUCACUGGGCGUAAAGGGCGCGUAGGCGGCUUGAUAAGCGUGCGGUGAAAGCCCGGGGCUCAACCCCGGGUCGGCCGUGCGAACUGUCGAGCUGGAGCACUGUAGAGGCAGGUGGAAUUCCGGGUGUAGCGGUGGAAUGCGUAGAGAUCCGGAAGAACACCGGUGGCGAAGGCGGUCUGCUGGGGUAAUGCUGACACUGAUGCGCGGACAGCGUGGGGAGCAAACAGG
rnacentral:rRNA from 1 species